rnacentral:tRNA from 1 species
AGUCGCGAGGUGAUUACACGCUAGAGUGCAAAUCUAGAGAGGCACACCCCCCCGGUGUGCCGCGGCUU